GGUGGAGCAUGUGGUUUAAUUCGAUGCAACGCGAAGAACCUUACCAAGGCUUGACAUGGACUAGAUCGCCGCAGAGAUGUGGUUUCCCUUCGGGGCUGGUUCACAGGUGGUGCAUGGUUGUCGUCAGCUCGUGUCGUGAGAUGUUGGGUUAAGUCCCGCAACGAGCGCAACCCUCGUUCCAUGUUGCCAGCGGGUUAUGCCGGGGACUCAUGGGAGACUGCCGGGGUCAACUCGGAGGAAGGUGAGGACGACGUCAAAUCAUCAUGCCCCUUAUGUCUUGGGCUUCACGCAUGCUACAAUGGCCGGUACAAAGGGUUGCGAUACUGUGAGGUGGAGCUAAUCCCAAAAAGCCGGUCUCAGUUCGGAUUGGGGUCUGCAACUCGACCCCANGAAGNCGG
rnacentral:rRNA from 1 species